ensembl:lncRNA
AUGCAUAAACCUCCCCUCUGCUGGAGGGAAGAGUACAUUACAUCACGUGUGAGAGGAAAAUUAGGUUUUACUUUGGUUCAAUUUGCAAAAGCAAACCAGAUACAUACGUAUCAAGAAAGUUUUUUUUGUUACUCUUAUCAAAAAAAUACUCGUUACUUACUAAUACUUCUUAUGCGUGUAUUUAAACCAGGGUUACACGUCACAUCCACACCUUACUCGGGAAUGUCAUUGAGCAGGUUAUUAAGGUAUGCAGCUGCUGUGUUUCUCAUCUCAAGUUCAAUGAUAGUGGCAGGAACUUUCUGUUUGUGUACUCUACGUGACAUCUACAUUACUAGUCUUCCUGGGGCAGAGCGAGCCGCACGUGGCCCUUCAGUCGGAGCAGACGACGACGCCGCGCCGCUGAAUGUGUCACAGAGAUGUGAGCUGAGGAGCGCCGAGCAGAGGGAGGAGAUCAAGCCCAAAGAAAUGCAUUUCAACUACACAAUUUCACCCUCAAAACCCAACCCGGGAUUUCCUGGUUACUAUGCACUCAUCCCCUUUGUCCUGCUCACACUGAUUGGAUGUGUAAUGGCAUUGGUUGUUUAUGUCCGAAGGAAGUCCAGAUUAGAUGAGCUGCGGCACAGGCUGAUUCCUCUGUACAGCUACGACCCCGCGGAGGACGAAGGAGAGUGGGAGGCCAGCGGGGGCCGGGGGGAGGAGGAGGAGGAGGAGCUGGCUGUGAGCAGACCGCAAAAAAUCAAAUUAUCACGAUGA